GUUUUGAAUAAAAUGAUGACACAAUGUGAUUUCUGCUCAGUGCUCAGAAUGUCAAUAUGAAGAGAUUUAACCAAGCGCGGGUAAACAGCGGGAGUAACUAUGACUCUCUUAAGGUAGCCAAAUGCCUCGUCGUCCAAUUAGCGACGCGCAUGAAUGGAUUAAUGAGAUUCCCACUGUCCCUAAUUACUAUCUAGCGAAACCACAGCCAAGGGAACGGGCUUGGCAAAAUUAGCGGGGAAAGAAGACCCUGUUGAGCUUGACUUUAUUCAGAAUUUGUGAAAUGGUGCUCGAGGUAUAGAAUAGGUGGGAGUGUAACGAAAUUGAAAUACCACUACUUUUGACGUUGUUUUACUUAUUAAAUAAAAACUAAAGAUUAAUAAUCUUGAUUCUAGAAUUAACGAAUAUUACAUGUUGACUCCAUGUGGGUUAACCUCUG
rnacentral:rRNA from 1 species